rnacentral:rRNA from 1 species
CAGGACGAACGGCUGGCGGCGUGCCUAACACAUGCAAGUCGAGCGAGGAGAUUCCUUCGGGAUGAUCCUAGCGGCGGACGGGUGAGUAACACGUGGGCAACCUGCCUCAUAGAGAGGAAUAGCCUUCCGAAAGGGAGAUUAAUACCUCAUAACAUUGCAGUUUCGCAUGGAACAGCAAUUAAAGGAGUAAUCCGCUAUGAGAUGGGCCCGCGGCGCAUUAGCUAGUUGGUGAGGUAACGGCUCACCAAGGCGACGAUGCGUAGCCGACCUGAGAGGGUGAUCGGCCACAUUGGGACUGAGACACGGCCCAGACUCCUACGGGAGGCAGCAGUGGGGAAUAUUGCACAAUGGGGGAAACCCUGAUGCCAGCAACGCCGCGUGAGUGAUGACGGCCUUCGGGUUGUAAAGCUCUGUCUUCAGGGACGAUAAUGACGGUACCUGAGGAGGAAGCCACGGCUAACUACGUGCCAGCCGCCGC